GAUGAACGCUGGCGGCGUGCCUAAUACAUGCAAGUCGAGCGAACAGAUGAGGAGCUUGCUCCUCUGACGUUAGCGGCGGACGGGUGAGUAACACGUGGAUAACCUACCUAUAAGACUGGGAUAACUUCGGGAAACCGGAGCUAAUACCGGAUAAUAUAUUGAACCGCAUGGUUCAAUAGUGAAAUACGGUUUUGCUGUCACUUAUAGAUGUAUCCGCGCCGCAUUAGCUAGUUGGUAAGGUAACGGCUUACCAAGGCAACGAUGCGUAGCCGACCUGAGAGGGUGAUCGGCCACACUGGAACUGAGACACGGUCCAGACUCCUACGGGAGGCAGCAGUAGGGAAUCUUCCGCAAUGGGCGAAAGCUUGACGGAGCAACGCCGCGUGAGUGAUGAAGGUCUUCGGAUCGUAAAACUCUGUUAUUAGGGAAGAACAAAUGUGUAAGUAACUAUGCACGUCUUGACGGUACCUAAUCAGAAAGCCACGGCUAACUACGUG
rnacentral:rRNA from 1 species